rnacentral:rRNA from 1 species
UACGGAGGGUGCAAGCGUUAUCCGGAUUCACUGGGUUUAAAGGGUGCGUAGGUGGGCAGGUAAGUCAGUGGUGAAAUCUCCGGGCUUAACCCGGAAACUGCCAUUGAUACUAUCAGUCUUGAAUACCGUGGAGGUAAGCGGAAUAUGUCAUGUAGCGGUGAAAUGCUUAGAUAUGACAUAGAACACCAAUUGCGAAGGCAGCUUACUACACGAAUAUUGACACUGAGGCACGAAAGCGUGGGGAUCAAACAGG